rnacentral:rRNA from 1 species
GACGAACGCUGGCGGCGUGCUUAAUACAUGCAAGUCAACUUGACUUUAGAUAGCAAUAUCGAAAAGUAGGGUGGCGCACGGGUGCGUAACGCGUAGGUAAUCUGCCCUGAGGUCUGACAUAACCCGUCGAAAGGCGGGCUAACAUCAGAUGAUAUAUAAUCACGACAUCGUGGAAAUAUCAAAUCUUCGGAGCCUUGGGAUGAGCCUGCGUCUGAUUAGGUAGUUGGCGGAGUAAUAGCCCACCAAGCCUACGAUCAGUAGCUGGUCUGAGAGGAUGAUCAGCCACACUGGAACUGAGACACGGUCCAGACUCCUACGGGAGGCAGCAGUAAGGAAUAUUGCUCAAUGGGGGAAACCCUGAAGCAGCAACGCCGCGUGAAGGAUGAAAUACUUUUGUAUGUAGACUUCUGUAAGAUGGGAAAAAUAUUACUCCUCGGGAGAAUUGAUUGUACCAUCAGAGUAAGCCCCGGCUAACUACGUGCCAG